rnacentral:rRNA from 1 species
UACGUAGGGGGGCAAGCGUUGUCCGGAUUUAUUGGGCGUAAAGAGCGUGUAGGCGGCUUUACAGGUCCGUUGUGAAAACUCGAGGCUCAACCUCGAGACGCCGGUGGAAACCGUAAAGCUAGAGUCCGGAAGAGGAGAGUGGAAUUCCUGGUGUAGCGGUGAAAUGCGUAGAUAUUGGGAGGAACACCAGUGGCGAAGGCGGCUCACUGGACCGGAACUGACGCUGAGGCGCGAAAGCGUGGGGAGCAAACAGG